UACGGGGGGAGCAAGCGUUGUUCGGAUUUACUGGGCGUAAAGGGCGCGUAGGCGGCCACCGCAAGUCAAUUGUGAAAUCUCCGGGCUUAACUCGGAAAGGUCAACUGAUACUGCGGGGCUAGAGUGCGGAAGGGGCAACUGGAAUUCUCGGUGUAGCGGUGAAAUGCGUAGAUAUCGAGAGGAACACCUGCGGCGAAGGCGGGUUGCUGGGCUGACACUGACGCUGAGGCGCGAAAGCUAGGGGAGCAAACAGG
rnacentral:rRNA from 1 species